GAAUUUCAUGAUAGUUUUGAGAUUUUUUUUUAAGGAUAAUAUCAUUGAUUGUAACAUCAAUACAAAGAAAGGGAUAUGAUCCAUCCGAGACACAUUGGAAGCUUAGAAGAUAUUACAACCAAAGACAUAGUAUGCACACUUAACAUAAAGUCAAGCCAUACCAAACAAAGCAAACUACGGCUUAGUUUGGAUGGGCGGUGUGUUUAGUUCCGGUGAGAUUAAAAACAGCGGUGGCGGUGAGAUUAGGUACUGUAGCAGUAAGAUUGGAUACUGUAACAGUGAGAUUAGAAAUAAUGGUGGUUGUGUGUUUGGAUUCAAACGCAGCUGUAGCGGUGAGGUGAGAAUAAGAAAUGACUAUUAAGGACAUCAUAUUAGAAUUGAUAUAUAAUAGAAGUUUUUAAA
rnacentral:lncRNA from 1 species